UACGGAGGGGGCUAGCGUUGUUCGGAAUUACUGGGCGUAAAGCGUACGUAGGCGGCUUUGUAAGUUAGAGGUGAAAGCCCGGAGCUCAACUCCGGAAUUGCCUUUAAGACUGCAUCGCUUGAAUCAUGGAGAGGUUAGUGGAAUUCCGAGUGUAGCGGUGAAAUGCGUAGAUAUCUGGAGGAAUACCGGUGGCGAAGGCGGCAUCCUGGACCGAGACUGACGCUGAGGAGCGAAAGCUAGGGGAGCAAACAGG
rnacentral:rRNA from 1 species